GAACUGCAGCCAGGCGCUCGCACGGGGGCGGGGCAGGGUCCCUCCAGAGCGCCUGCGCUAAACCCGCUUCUCGGCGCCAUUUUGUCCUGGCAGCGGUGGCCGCGGCUCUACCGCAUUUUGUGUUUGUGGACCGAAGGGCUAGGCGUCUUCCUCCGGUAGGUCGACUUCAGUGCGGCACGCGUCCACCUGCCCGUCCAGGGCAGCUCCGAGUGGAGGUCGGAGGACUCGCAGAGCAGUCUCGAAGGGCAGUGGGCAGCCGCGGGUGUCCGAGCGGCUGGGGGAUGGCGCAGCUGCAGAGGCGCUAGCACCGGAAGUGGAGGGGCUGGAGGCGGCCAUGGCCGAAUUAAGACUGAUUUUGUGGAACAGUGAAGCAAGAUGUUACAGUUGACUUGAGAUGCUUUCUGUUGAAGAUUCUGUUUCUGGUUUCUUCAUGAAGGAUGGGAAUAAAUGCAAAUGGAAAAUCAGGUAAGUGCUCUUAUAGUCUUAUCUGGAAUCUCCGAAUCAAAACAUUGUUCUUUAAACCUUUUUAUUUUCAGGUAACAGUAUCAGUAGUUACUAUAGUAAGGCACUCAAUUCUUAAGUUCUGUAUUCAUGUCAGUAAAAUGUACCAACUGUUCCUUUUGCCCAGAGGCAGCCACAUCUCAACAACAGCCACAGUGUUGCCCCUAAAUUUAUUAAUCUCUGUGUGGUGUGUAUGACCAUUAACUGUUGUCUUUCAUAGUAGCUGUAGAGCUAGGGUUGUGUGUGUGUGUAUUUCAGAUAGUUUAAAUUUGGCCUGGAUGUUCCAAUUCGAACCAGUUUUAUUUUCUAAAGAGUUCUGUCAGGUAUAAUAAGAACUUAGUUAAGUUACACUCAGGACACAGUAAGAGGAUUCAUACUUUAGCCAUUCCUAUACUUCACUAACUGGAGACAAACUUUUCUGUCUUUAAUUAAAUUCAGAUGUUUUUCCAAGGCUGGUACUUUUAUCAUUCUCAGGUAGAUGUGAAUUUUAAAACGUAGUUGGCAAUUUUAUAUAAAAAACUACGGUAAUGAAAUUCUAGUUUUUCAGUUGAUUCUAUAGCAGCCAUCCUAUUCAGGCAUAAUUUGCUAAACGGCAUACAUGCUCAAAGUCCAGCAGUAUGCUACAGUUAACUCAGUGAUGAGAUUACCUUCUUAGGAAAGCCUAAGCAUGAGCCCAAUAAGGGUGUGUGUAGCUAGCCUGAAUUCAGGCUGUUUGUUCCUCCUUUUAGUACUGCUGUUGAGGUUAUGACAGCUGUUUAUUGGUCCUUAAAAUCCACGCCUCACCACAAAAAAAUGAAAGUACCCAUGACUGGCAUGUUUGAUAGUUGCUUUUGAAAAAAAACUAUCACAAACUGAUUUUUAAGAGAUUAAUUUAUUUGAAAGAGCAGCAUGCCACAGAGAAAUCUGCUGCUUCAUUCCCCAAAUAGUCGAAACAGUUAGGCCUGGGCCAGGCUGAAGCCAGGAGGUAAGAAUUCCAUCUGGAUUUUCCUACCAGGGCCUAACUGCUUGAGCCAUCUUCUACUAUCUUCCCAAGCACAUUAGCAGGGGGCUGGAUCAGCGGUGGAGCAGCCAGGACUCAAACCAGCACUCAAUGGGACAACCUGUUUGUUGUGCCUCACUCUGCCCCUCCUUCCCCCUGCAAACUGAAAUUCUGUAUCACAUCUACAGUUUUAACUGUGGCUGGUGAUCAACCAUCAUUUUACUAAAUUAUUUAUGUGGGUAACACAUGGAUGCUCCUAGUGAAGCCCAGCAAAAAUGAGAUUUUUUAAAGGGAUGGAAUGGGGCUUUAAGUUUGAUCCAAAGCCUCUAUUUGCAAUAUUUUAACUAAGGAAUUUUUAAGUAGCAUAUACCUUUAUUUCAAUAUAAAUGUUCUCAAUCCCACCCAUUUUGUCAAACAGAUAGUAACCAAACUUCAGUAGUUACAAGACAAAAAUUUAAUGAAAAUUGAUCAGUGGGUUAUUUAUAAUCCACAGGCUAAAUAUCACAAGACGGUAGUAGAAAGAUGCGGAAGUAAUUGUUACAUAUUGUCAUCAUCUGAUUCAUCUUCUUCCUUCAAAGAUUCCUAUUAAGAGAAAAAAGUAGCACUUAAAAUCAACUUUAAAUAUUGUUACAGCCCACAUGUAACAGCAAGUUAAGAUACAGUAACCUGAAUUUAAGCAUUUAUUAAUGGUAACUGAAAUUUAGGAUGAAAUUCAACUAUAUUCUUGUUCUGAAGAUCAAUGGAUACUUGAUGUAUCCUGAAAAACCUUACAGUUUUCCCCAAGGGAAGAGUUGAAUUUGGAAAUGUGUUACUUAAUUUGUUAAGUAACAAUACAUCAUUUUGGUUAGGUGACUUACCUUAGCAUAUUUCUCUGCUUCUUCUCUUACAUCUUUUGGAACAAUUUCAUGCCUUCCUUUAGUUACUGUAAAUUAAGCCAUAUAUUUAAAUAAAUUUAAAAUGCUUUCCUAUAAGUGAUAGUCAUUUGACCUUAUUUUUUAAAUGUUUCCUCAUGAGAUUUUAUGUGCUCAAAUUUUUAUAAAUUAAUCCCAAGCAUUAAUUCAUAGCAUGAGAUCAAUUUUGGGCGAUUUCUUAGAUAUUUCAAAAGAGAUCUUCACAAACUCUGUUAAAUACACAGAAAUUACUUACAUUCACCAACCCAGCUGAGCUCUAACUCAAAAGCUUUAUCCUUAACUUCAUCAUGCACUAUGUAAAUUCUAGAAGGAAAAAACACUGGAGUCAGUGACCAAAACACUGCAGUUUACAUACCCAGUCAGUACAAAUUAGAUUACCAUCCGUACCACAAGUUAAAAUUAUGUAGGCUGAAAUCUGAAUUACGAAUAUCAGAAUAAGCUACAGAGGACUUGAAAUAGACUGGAACACUUUCAUUCUCCUCAUAAAUACUAAAUGAUAAUUUGUUUGGCUUAUUUUGAUAUACAUUGCUUAAAAGCCAUAAAAAUCAUCUCAAGAAUACAGAAAUGGGUAAAGUCAGGGUCACCACCUGAAGCCAGUAAUGGGCAGGCAGCAGGUUCAUGUCCCAGCUGCUUCACUCCAACCAAGCUCCCGGACAUGAGAAAACCAAUGGAAGAUGGUUCACUACACAGAAGACCCAGAUGAAGUUCCUGGCUUGAGCCUGGCCCACCACUGGCUGUUGCAGCCGUCUGGGGAGUAUAAAUCAGCACGUGGAAAAUAGUCUCAUUUGUAACUCUUGAAAUAAAUCUUUAAAAACUUAAACAUAAAUGGGAACCAGGCCAUCAUUAACCAUCCCUUCUCAGGACACUAUUUUCUUUCAUUAAGGAAAUAAAGCCUAAUAAUUUAUGUGCCCUAUAUAAGAACUUUUAUUACAUAUCCGAAAAAGUAAAGCCUAUAUUUUUAUAUAAGUGAGCCAGCCUUAUGGAUCAUGUAUAGAAAUAAUUAACUUGUAAAUCACACGAUAAAUAAAGUUUCUAAGCUUUCUUGGUAGUGUUUUGAUUAUUGUUAUUUUGGGGAUGUUGAGAGAUUUGAGGUGGUGGAAGUUAACAAAUGAAGCCCCUACGAACAUUCACUAUGUCCUUCACGCGUUAAAUCCCGUUGCCCACACAGGAGCUUGUUUUCUCAGCAUUCAUUCUCAUUCUUGAAAUACUCAUUUUCUUCAUGAGGAUUCUUAGAAUGUUAAAUUCUCUUCAAAAAAUUACACACUGCUAUUUUCAACCAAAAUAGCCUCAUAUAUAUGCCAAGACAAUGUGAAAUAUCUUUGUGGAUAGUUAAGGAAUAUUUGAACUUACAUUUUGGCAACUUCUUUAACAACAUCACGGCAGGUCAUUUCUUUCAUCUACAGAAAAUAAAAUUAUACAUUUUCCAUUUGUGUAACUGCACAACUGUUAGCACUAACUCAUGGUCAAGAUAGAUUCUCAGAUGUAAAAACAAAGAAAUUCCAAAAAGAUAAAUUUCCUGAUUUUUAUUAUUAUUUUUAAAUUAACAUGCCAAAAUUCAUAUUGGAGAUAACCACUAAUUUUCUGGUAAAACUUAGAUAAGCCCAAGUCUAAUUCUUAAGUAGACCCAGAGCAAAAGCUUGGUCAUACUAGAAUUCAACAUACUUGGAGGGACUGUUGGGAAAUCAGAAUAGAAAAAUAGCCUGUAAGCACUAACCAUAACAAGUAAAGUAACCUGUAAGAAAUCACUGCAAGAGAUUUAUUAAUCAUACACGUUUCAGGGUCAACGCAAAGUCUGAGCAAAGUGACAUUUGUGUUGUGGAUACCUUGAGAUAGAGAACGUCAGAGAGUACUGAACACAGUAAUCCAGACUUAAAUGUCGUUCAAUUACUGCAAAUGGGGUUCAUGAUUUUUACUAAUUCAUUUUAGAAAUCCUAAAGUUCAAAUGAUAGCUGUACAACCAUCUGAGGAAGAAAAACACAACCCUAACACUGAGUUUAAGGAUACAAAUCUUGGGGCUGGCAUUGUGGUAAGGCAGGUUGAUCUGUUGCCUGCAACACUGGCAUCCCAUAUGGGUGCUGGUUCAAGUCUUGGCUGCUGUACUUCACAUCAGCUCCCUGCUAAUGCACCUGGGGAAAAGGUGCAAGAUGGGUCAGGUGCUUGGGUGCCUGCACCCAAGUGGGACACCUGGAAGUUCCUGGCCCAGCCCCAGACAUUGCAGACACUUGGGGAAUUAACCACCAGAUGGAACAUGGAUCUCUGUCCAUCUUGAAACACUGCCUUUCAAAUAAAUAAAUCUUUUGUCUCAGAACAGCACGUUGGUACAACCGCAAAAGCAACAUAAAAUAUUCUGUGAGGACAAAGGGUAGUUUAAAAGAGAUGUAAAAUAAGAAAUUCAAUGUGAACCUUGAUAGUAUAGUUCAAAGUUAAAGACACUGUGGAGACUGAGGCAGUUCAGUUAUGGAAUAUAAGAUGAUGCUUUAAGUAUGAUAUGGUAUGGUAUUAAAAGGAGAUGAGUGAUGAUGCACUCAGAUUCAGUGUCACCGCUGCAACUUCUCAUAGUUUAGGGGAAAAAACAAAUGGAUAAAAUAUAGGGAAAAGUCUAAAUAGACUUGUAACAUUCUUAGCAUUAAUCAGUUAUACUUUUUCCAUUCUAAACUAGAGGUAAAAGGAAGGGAAACAGUACUUUCCUAUUUUUGCAAGUCUGUUGUAGUGUCAAGGCAGCCACAGAUUAAACAGUAAAUGCAGUUGUGUUCCAAAAGAA